CAGAGCUGCAGCACACGAGCUGGCUGGCGCUGCUGCUGGGAACUGUGACUCACUCCUUCAGGUUCUCCCUGGUGCGGAAGGAGUCUCCGAAGGGGAAAAAGAGCAGUCUGUCAGAUAAUUGAUGCAAUACAUCCAAUGGAAAUCUUUAAGUUGAUUAAAAUUCUUCUGAGAAUUUUUUUCCCCAUUUGAAGAUUCAUGCAUGGAUCUUUUCUGUAGAAUGAGAUUAGUCUUUUUAUCUAAAGAAGACCACAGAAUCCUUCAUUUUCUUUGUUUUUCUUUUACUCCUUCAUCUUUCAUCUUCAAAAAUAAAAUUUAACUUUGUAACAAGCUUAUUUGGAACUGGAAGCUUUUAGAAAAAAUGUUAAUGUAAUAAAAUACAGUGACUGAUGUUA